UACGUAGGGGGCGAGCGUUGUCCGGAUUUAUUGGGCGUAAAGAGCGUGUAGGCGGCCAGGUAGGUCUGCUGUGAAAACUCGAGGCUCAACCUCGAGACGUCGGCGGAAACCAUCUGGCUAGAGUCCGGAAGAGGAGAGUGGAAUUCCUGGUGUAGCGGUGAAAUGCGCAGAUAUCAGGAAGAACACCCGUGGCGAAGGCAGCUCGCUGGGACGGUACUGACGCUGAGACGCGAAAGCGUGGGGAGCAAACAGG
rnacentral:rRNA from 1 species